GAUGAACGCUGGCGGCGUGCCUAAUACAUGCAAGUCGAGCGAACGGACGAGAAGCUUGCUUCUCUGAUGUUAGCGGCGGACGGGUGAGUAACACGUGGAUAACCUACCUAUAAGACUGGGAUAACUUCGGGAAACCGGAGCUAAUACCGGAUAAUAUUUUGAACCGCAUGGUUCAAAAGUGAAAGACGGUCUUGCUGUCACGUAUAGAUGGAUCAGCGCUGCAUUAGCUAGUUGGUAAGGUAAAGGCUUACCAAGGCAACGAGGCAUAGACGACCUGAGAGGGUGAUCGGCCACACUGGAACUGAGACACGGUCCAGACUCCUACGGGAGGCAGCAGUAGGGAAUCUUCCGCAAUGGGCGAAAGCCUGACGGAGCAACGCCGCGUGAGUGAUGAAGGUCUUCGGAUCAUAAAACUCUGUUAUUAGGGAAGAACAUAUGUGUAAGUAACUGUGCACAUCUUGACGGUACCUAAUCAGAAAGCCACGGCUAACUACGUG
rnacentral:rRNA from 1 species